UGGCUGUCCAGUUGAAGAUCAAAGAAGAAGUUCAGACUACCAGCCAAUGAGUGCGCAAGAGCUGAUGAUUUCGAAAUUACCUCAAGACUACCACCGUGUAACAAAACUAGCUGCGGUUAGGGAUUCACUUUCUCCAAGAGCUGCUACGAUCACUCAUUCUAACUACCAGCUCAUUCCUGCGGUUAGGGAAGGACGCAUCUAAGAGCUGCUAAAACAAAGGUAAGAAAGGCAAUUGGAUUGAAUAGUGUCAGGUUAUGAGCUCCUUCGUGAGCAGUAAGAGGGCAUUCUAACAAAGCAAAGAGAAGAGCCUAAAGUCAGUCAAGCAGUAACGGGGCGAAGGG
rnacentral:lncRNA from 1 species